rnacentral:rRNA from 1 species
CACGUAGGGCGCAAGCGUUGUCCGGAAUUAUUGGGCGUAAAGAGCUCGUAGGCGGUCUGUUGCGUCCGCUGUGAAAACCCGGGGCUUAACCCUGAGCUUGCAGUGGGUACGGGCAGACUAGAGUGUGGUAGGGGAGACUGGAAUUCCUGGUGUAGCGGUGAAAUGCGCAGAUAUCAGGAGGAACACCGGUGGCGAAGGCGGUUCUCUGGGCGAUUACCUGACGCUGAGGAGCGAAAGUGUGGGGAGCGAACAGG